AACCUGCCGGUGGAUCAAUACUGUAUAUUAGCUCUUUUUUUGCUAUUUAUUUGGAGAUCCUUUAUUAUAAACGGUCAUAAUGGUGUCUAUUCGCAUUGCUAAUGCUCGUCAACCGUCGAGUGUAUUGAUCAGUGCGCAUAUCGUUCACGGUACACCACAUUCGUGGCGUGUGUAUUGGAGAGCGUAGACUUGAUGAACAUCUGCCUUGAUGUCGCCAACCAAUCAUUUAUAUAUUAUUUUUCUUGAAACAUUACUACUCCUAGUGGUGGAUCACUCGGCUCGCAGGUCGAUGAAGAACGCAGCUAGCUGCGAUAGUUGGUGCGAAUUGCAAACACAUUGAGCACUAAAGUUUCGAACGCAUAUUGCGCCGUCGGUUCUUCCGUCGGCAGGUCUGUCUGAGGGUUACAAAUAAGUAUUUGCAGGAUAGUGUGUGCCUGUUGCAUUAUCUUGUUUAACAAGAAGCUCUAUGUAUGCUUUAAUGCGUAUCUAGUCCUUCUUUGGUAAUUAAUAUUAUUGCAUAAUAUUGUAUAUGUCGCAACCCGUGCAAGUUGUGGUAGUGAUUAUACUAAUGUAUUAUGUGUGUUAUAAUGUUGAAACCUCAGAUCAGUCCUGAUUACCCGCUGAACUUAAGCAUAUCAGUAAGCGGAGGAAAAGAAACUAACUAUGAUUCCUUUAGUAACAGCGAGUGAACGAGGAAGAGCCCAGCGCUGAAUCUUUCGGUCUAUGAUCGCUAAGAAUUGUAGCGUAUAGGUGUAGCUUUCUACGAUCAAUGUAUACUCAAAGUCCCUUUGAUUGGGGCCACAGUCCUGAGAAGGUGCAAGACCUGUACGAGUUGCAUUGUGUUGUAGUCGGCGGCUCCUUGGAGUCGGGUUGCCUGAGAACGCAGCCUGAAUUGGGUGGUAAACUCCAUCUAAGGCUAAAUAGUACUGCGAGUCCGAUAGCAAACAAGUACCGUGAGGGAAAGUUGCAAAGAACUUUGAAGAGAGAGUUCAAGAGUGCGUGAAACCACUGGGAUGGAAACGGAUAGAGUUGACGAAUUGGGCGAUAUUCAACUGUUUUGUUUACGCGAAGCGGUGUACUUAUCGUCUGUAUGCGCUGAGAAUCUUGAUUGAAUAUUCUAAACCGUAGUAUUGUUGCCCAUCAUCUUCGGAUGAUGGUGUCUUGUGCUUGCGGGUUGGGAUGUUUCGAUUAAGUAAUUUCGGUGUGAAAGUCGACCACCUAUCCGACCCGUCUUGAAACACGGACCAAGGAGUCUAGCGUAUGUGCGAGUCAUUGGGUGGUAAACCUAUUGGCGUAACGAAAGUAAAGGUCGUCUUGUGCGGCUGAUAUGGGAUCCGUGCGAUUUCGAUCGUACGGCGCACCAUAGCCCUGUCUCGAAGGCUUGCCUUGAGAUGGAGGUAGAGCACAUGCGCUAGGACCCGAAAGAUGGUGAACUAUACGUGAGCAGGAUGAAGCCGGAGGAAACUCUGGUGGAAGUCCGUAACGGUUCUGACGUGCAAAUCGAUCGUCUGACUUGCGUAUAGGGGCG
rnacentral:rRNA from 1 species